rnacentral:rRNA from 1 species
UGCUUCUAGAAUAAGAUUAAGAGGUAAGACCUGCCCGGUGACUAAGGUUAAACGGCUGCAGUACUCUGACUGUGCAAAGGUAGCAUAAUCAUUUGCCUAGUAAUUUUAGGCUAGAAUCAACGGUUAGACGAAGGAUUAACUGUCUCCUUAUAGUUUAAUUGAAAUUAACUUUAAAGUGAAGAUGCUUUAAUAUUAAAGUGGGACGAGAAGACCCUAUUGAGCUUUAGUUUAAUUGAAAAAUUUUAAUUUUAUGUGGACUUGGAUUGGGGCAAUUCUUUUUAUUAUAAAACAAAGGUUAUUUUUAUGAAUUAAUACUAGUGAGAUCCUAAAAUUUUGGAAUUAAGAAAAAGUUACCAUAGGGAUAACAGCGUUAUUUUUCUUGAGAGUACAUAUUGACAGAAAAGUUUGCGACCUCGAUGUUGGAUUAAGGUAUCCUGGAUGUGCAGCAGCUUCCAUUGGUUGGUUUGUUCAACCAUUAAAAUCUU